rnacentral:rRNA from 1 species
AGAGUUUGAUCCUGGCUCAGGACGAACGCUGGCGGCGUGCCUAAUACAUGCAAGUAGAACGCUGAAGAGAGGAGCUUGCUCUUCUUGGAUGAGUUGCGAACGGGUGAGUAACGCGUAGGUAACCUGCCUUGUAGCGGGGGAUAACUAUUGGAAACGAUAGCUAAUACCGCAUAACAAUAGAUGACUCAUGUCAUUUAUUUGAAAGGGGCAAUUGCUCCACUACAAGAUGGACCUGCGUUGUAUUAGCUAGUAGGUGAGGUAACGGCUCACCUAGGCGACGAUACAUAGCCGACCUGAGAGGGUGAUCGGCCACACUGGGACUGAGACACGGCCCAGACUCCUACGGGAGGCAGCAGUAGGGAAUCUUCGGCAAUGGGGGCAACCCUGACCGAGCAACGCCGCGUGAGUGAAGAAGGUUUUCGGAUCGUAAAGCUCUGUUGUAAGUCAAGAACGAGUGUGAGAGUGGAAAGUUCACACUGUGACGGUAGCUUACCAGAAAGGGACGGCUAACUACGUGCCAGCAGCCGCGGUAAUACGUAGGUCCCGAGCGUUGUCCGGAUUUAUUGGGCGUAAAGCGAGCGCAGGCGGUUUGAUAACUCUGAAGUUAAAGGCUGUGGCUCAACCAUAUUUCGCUUUUGGACACUGUCAAACUUUGAGUGCAGAAGGGGAGAGUGGAAUUCCAUGUGUAGCGGUGAAUGCGUAGAUAUACGGAGGACCUCGGUGGCGAAAGCGGCUCUCUGGUCUGUAACUGACGCUGAGGCUCGAACGCGUUGGGAGCGAACAGGAUAUAUACCCAGGUUGUCCACCGCCGUAAACGUGAGCGCCAAGGUG